GAUACGCCUUCAGCGGAGAGGAGAGAGGGGGGAAGGAGAGAGAGAGUGAGAGAGAGAGAGGGAGAGAGAGAGAAGAAGAAGAGGGAGAAGAAGGAGAAGAAGAAGAAGAAAAAAAAAUCCCGCAGUCUUGUUUUCCUCUUGUCGCCCGAGACUGUCAAACACCACUCAGCAGCAGCAUUCACGCAAGUGGAUGAUAACUCCCGCUUGCCCCAUGUGAAAUACAGGCUUGUGUGGCAGGUAGUGAAAGUGCCAGUGGCGCAUGCGCACUGGCGCCGCCGCACGCAGACCGACCGCUGAAGGAUUUUUUUUUCUUUUUUUUUUUUUUUUCCGAAAAAUCCCACCCUGCUUAAAGAGGAAACGCAUCUCGUCAUCGUCACAUAUAUAUGUAUAUGUAUACAUGUUUAUUUACUGCCUGAGAGCUGAUUCUCUCGGUGGCCUCGGUGUUGUUUGGAACCAUUACGAAGUAGCCUGUUAUUAAUCCUCAUGAGCAACUUGUCGCGUGUGGCUGGCUCAGCUCAAUUAAACGUCAUUAACUUAUUCACGUUAAAGGCGAUUGUGUCUAAACUACCUGCUGGAUGAGCCUCUUCACUGUCACAGUGAGCGAGUGACUGCUGCAGACAGCUCUGCCACGGACCUUCCCCUUCCCUCUUCUCCAGCAGGAGCUGCCGCCAUACGCCCAGGCCGGGGCCAAGACGCACAGGACGAAGCAGCAGAUGCAAGAAAGAAAGACAGACAGAAAGAAAGAAAAAAUAGAAAUAACAAUCAAGGUAUCAUGUCAUUUCCAUCUGAGGAUUUUCAUUAAUCAUUAAAGAUUGCAAAUUGCUCCACUUUUUACAGCCGAUUUACAGAUUAAGGGGUUUACGCUGUGUGAAUCUGGAGCAAAAUAUUUCAUUAGUUUUGCCCCCCCCCCCCAAAAAAAAGAAAUAUUUGAAAGCGUGACUGAAAGAAGGAGAAAUACAAUAUUGUCUGAAACAUAA